GACGAACGCUGGCGGCGUGCCUAAUACAUGCAAGUUGAGCGCUGAAGGUUGGUACUUGUACCAACUGGAUGAGCAGCGAACGGGUGAGUAACGCGUGGGGAAUCUGCCUUUGAGCGGGGGACAACAUUUGGAAACGAAUGCUAAUACCGCAUAAAAACUUUAAACACAAGUUUUAAGUUUGAAAGAUGCAAUUGCAUCACUCAAAGAUGAUCCCGCGUUGUAUUAGCUAGUUGGUGAGGUAAAGGCUCACCAAGGCGAUGAUACAUAGCCGACCUGAGAGGGUGAUCGGCCACAUUGGGACUGAGACACGGCCCAAACUCCUACGGGAGGCGGCAGUAGGGAAUCUUCGGCAAUGGACGAAAGUCUGACCGAGCAACGCCGCGUGAGUGAAGAAGGUGUUCGGAUCGUAAAACUCUGUUGGUAGAGAAGAACGUUGGUGAGAGUGGAAAGCUCAUCAAGUGACGGUAACGACCCAGAAAGGGACGGCUAACUACGU
rnacentral:rRNA from 1 species